rnacentral:rRNA from 1 species
UACGUAGGUGGCAAGCGUUGUCCGGAUUUAUUGGGUUUAAAGGGUGCGUAGGCGGCUUUGUAAGUCAGUGGUGAAAUACUCCAGCUUAACUGGAGGGGUGCCAUUGAUACUGCGGAGCUUGAGUACAGAUGAGGUAGGCGGAAUUGACGGUGUAGCGGUGAAAUGCGCAGAUAUCAGGAGGAACACCGGUGGCGAAGGCGGUGGUCUGGGCCGGUACUGACGCUGAGGAGCGAAAGCGUGGGGAGCGAACAGG